AAUAUAAGUUAUAUACCUCUAUAUAUAGCCUGACAAAUCCAUUUGUUUAUUUAUUUGUGUGCGCAUGGGUACGUGAGUGGAUAUGUGCGUGUGGAUGUAUUUGUGUAUAUAAAACAUUUGUUGGCAAUUAGGGUAUAAAAACUGGCUAAUUAGCGAAAAAGCCCUACAGACUGAUAUAGAUUUAUUGGAGGUUUCUUAAGUUUUAAGGCAUUUCUUCUGUUUUGCGAGCUAACUGGGGUGAUUCCCUGGUGUUUUGAUUAAUUGGACUGUUGAAUUUUGUCGGUGAACAAGAAAGGAGGUAACUAUUUUAUGAGACUAGAUAAUGAACAUUGGCAGCUGCUACCCAUUUUCUUUGUUAACUCAUUAAUGCCAAACGUCUUUUUAAAAGGACAGCGGUUGACAUUCUGCUAAAUUAUUUAUAAUGGGUUUAACUGAACUGUAGUAUGAUGGAUGGCGCUGUAUACAUGUUUCCUAAUAUUAGCUUCAGUGCAAUAAUGUGACUACAAGUAAUUAUUCCAUUAUUUAUGUGAUUUUUUAGUAAUGGUACAUUUUAACCUUGAUGCAGCUGGGGAUUUGCGAAUAAGUGGAUUGGAGCCAAAAUAUUUAAAUCCAAAAUGAAGAAAGUGAUGGUUUUGGAGAUGACGAAGAAGAGAUUAAUGAAGAGAGUUCCGAUGCGGAUUAUUCCGAAAAUGAAGAACCCAGGUGUGAAUAUUCCAAGAGUGAACUGGAAGAGCUAACGAAAGAAAAUGAAAAGUUCUACUUUGGAAAAAAUAAAUUUAAAUGGAAUAAAGACGCACCUCCCAACAAGAAAGCUACUAACUAUGGCCCCAGUCGUAGGACACGUAGGUGGCUUAUGGCAUUUUUUUUGCCGGCUAGAUGUGAGCACGAUCAAUACCUAUGUACGUCUUUUUCUAGUUACAAGGAUACUCCAAAAUUGAAAAUGUUAGACGAAAGUUUAGUACUGCCACAGUGGGAAAGAAGAAUAGUAAAUUCCAAAUUACCUAGAGAAGUGUAAACGACUAUUACAAGGCUUUGCGGUAACAAUGAUAAUAUUGUAAUUGAGAACAGCCCUCCAGAGAACCGCCUUGAAAAAAGAUCAACGUGUUAUGUAUGUCCACCAAUGUUUAAACACAAAACGCAGUAUGCCUGCUGCUAUUGCAAAAAGCCAAUUUGUCGCGACUGCAUGUGAACAAAA